AGCUUGUCCAUGAUGUUAUUUCAAAAAAUGUCUGAACAUAUGAGUUCAUAAGUGAUUUCAUCUUGUAGCUGAGAUAAGCU